rnacentral:rRNA from 1 species
GGAGUUAGCCGGUGCUUCUUCUGUGAGUGAUGUCCUUCCUGCCGGCUAUUAACCCGCAGGCCUUCUUCCUCACUGAAAGUGCUUUACAACCCGAAGGCCUUCUUCACACACGCGGCAUGGCUGGAUCAGGGUUGCCCCCAUUGUCCAAUAUUCCCCACUGCUGCCUCCCGUAGGAGUCUGGGCCGUGUCUCAGUCCCAGUGUGGCUGAUCAUCCUCUCAGACCAGCUACGGAUCGUCGCCUUGGUGAGCCGUUACCUCACCAACCAGCUAAUCCGACAUAGGCUCAUCCGAUAGCGCGAGGCCCGAAGGUCCCCCGCUUUCCCCCGUAGGGCGUAUGCGGUAUUAGCCUGGGUUUCCCCAGGUUAUCCCCCGACUACCGGGCAGAUUCCUAUGCAUUACUCACCCGUCCGCCGCUCGCCACCAGGGAGCAAGCUCCCCGUGCUGCCGCUCGACUUGCAUGUGUUAGGCCUGCCGCCAGCGUUCAAUCUGAACCAGAUCAAUUCUGA